rnacentral:tRNA from 1 species
GGAAAAAAUGAUGUAAAUUUUGCCCCUGCUAAGGGAGUAUGGGGUGUAGAGCCUCAUCGAGGGUUCGAAUCCCUCCGUUUCCGCCA